rnacentral:lncRNA from 1 species
CCAAAGGGGAAAAGGGGACAGCGGUGAAAUUGUAUGGGCGGUGGCCGAGUGAAGAAAUACAUUUCAUUUCCCUUCUUACCGACCAAGUACUAAGAGCGAGACCGGGAGAGAGAACUCUGCAUUUUUUCCUUAGGCAGCAACAACCGAGAGAGAAAACAGAGCAUCCGAAUAGCUUUCCCAUUUCUGCCUUCUUUAACCGACCAAAACUGAGAGCUAAAGUGAAGGAUAGGAAGAGAAACUUUGUUAGUUUCUUCACUAAUUAGCUUCAACCGAGAGAAAGAGUGAAAGCUGCUGCAAUAUUAGGAGAAACCUAAGCUACGAGCAGGAGCAAUCUGCCGUUAUUAAAAUUUAACGGAGAAGGUAAGAAUCUUGUAACCACCUUUUUAUUUCUUGAAUAUAACUGAAAAUAUAGGAUGCAUGUUAGUUUUAGCAAGGAAUAUUGAGUUUCAACCGAAGGAAAAUCUGUUAGAGAGGGAAAAUUUUGGAACUGGACUGCAGUGCAGGAACGGGAGUUUAUUAUCUAAUGUUGAAGCCUGUAAUUAGUGUAAAAUUGGAAACUAAUGUGAGAAAUGCAUGAACUAUGGUUAUCUCAGGUUUAUAAGGGGUUUAGUUGAAGAAACUAUGGGAAAAGUUAGAUUUUUGGAUUGAAACCGAGGGAAGUUAUCUGCUGGAAAUUUUUUCAGGUUAACCGAGAAGGGGAAAAAUGGACAGAUUUCUAGCUGUCUUCAUGAUUUUGGCCUUGAGUUUCUAUGUGAAACUGUAAUAUAUAUUAUAUAUUAGCUUGGUAUGAUCAUGCAUGGAAGAUUGAUAUACAAGUAAAAACACUUUGAAGAGCUUCAUGUUGUAUAAUUAGCCGCUGCAUGCGUUUCUUUCAAUUUGGCCGAGUAGAAGGCCUGGUUCAGCUAUGGUUUCGGCUCCUUGACUGUUCCCUGCAAAACCUUAGCUUCUAAAGCUGACUUACAGAGUUGAAACCUGUACUAAUGCCUCUAAACUUUAACCAGAAAAAAAAAAAACAGGAAUGAGUAGGAACUAAACUGAGUGAUGAAGGGGGGAACAAGUUCACUGAUUGCAGGAUGUCGGCCGAGGGAAUGAAGCAGAAUGUGCUUCUGUCCGGCCAUUUUUGACCCUGAAAAUGUGAGAACUGGGUAUCAAUAUCUUCAUAAGAAAUGUAGGCCUAUAUCUUAGCUUUGAAACGCUAUAAAAUUUGCCUCAAUCCGAUAAGCGUAACCCUAAUUAUGAUCGUAAUACCGGAGGAUGGCAAAGCUGCCUUUCUCGUUGCCUUUCAUUUUGUUUCCGAAUGCACUUUGCUAAGAUGCUAGCCGUGAGGAACUAGUUUUAACCAGCAUUUCUUCUAAUUUCCAACCUGUAAGCUUUCAUAAAUGAUAGCUACGAUUGUUCUGAGAAUUAACAGCUAUACCUAGUUCCAUGAGGAGAGUUAAACUAAGACGAUUGAGUGAAAAACUCACGAUAGUUAUAUACGUAAAGUGGCCUCUAAUUAUGUUUUUAACUCACGAUAGUUAUAUACGUAAAGUGGCCUCUAAUUAUGUACUAUGGUCGUCACAAAUAUUUUAAAGACUAUAAAAUUUGAGUGACUGGUGUAGUGGAAUAAAAUCUAAUUACCAAAUAACCUAGGGAUUCAUUAAUUAAAAAGGGACCAAUGGAGUACUUCUAAGCCUUAAUUCUAGAAUCUUGAGUGGAAAAUGAUUUAAUUCUAAAAUAAAUAUUUUAUAAAUUAUUAACUCGGAAAAUACGUAUGUAUCUUGAUUUAAGAUAAUAAAGUCAAGGAAUUUCGAACUAAAUUGGAAAAUAAAUAUUGAGUAAUAAAUAUCGCGUAUAUUUUGCAUUUAGUCAAACUUGAUUUUAAUAGUUUAAACAAUAAAAUAGAAUAAAUAUUGAAUGUAUUAUAGUUAUAUUUAAAGCCAAACCUAAUUCAAAUGAUUUAAAUAAUAGGUAGAUAGCAACAAAUUGUAGAUUUACCUUGGAAUUAUAUAUUUAUCUCAGGAACUAGCUGCGAGCCAAGAAACAGACUCGAAGCUCGAGUUACUUGAAUAAUUGGUGAGUGUUUUCCGAAUUUAUGUGUUAAACUGCUUAUGUGUACCUAAGUGCAAUUAUAUGGCAAAUGUGUUUAUUAUGAAAUAUUGCUAAGUGAUUUACUUGAAUAAUUGGUGAGUGUUUUCCGAAUUUAUGUGUUAAACUGCUUAUGUGUACUUAAGUGCAAUUAUAUGGCAAAUGUGUUUAUUAUGAAAUAUUGCUAAGUGAUUCAUUGUGAAGUGUUUUCAAUUGUCCCUCGCCUUCUAAGUUGAGGGUGUACUUUAUCGCACUCGUCUUAGUUGAGUUUGAAGGUCGAUAAUUGAUCGAGUGAUAUUGUAAGUGUGCAUGACUGUAAGCCGUGUGUGUAUUUUAUCACACCGGCUGAACUGGGCCCCAAAACCCUCUGUUCAACGGACUAUUCGAGCCAGCAAAGGGCUUGGUCGGGUAGGACGGUAGCUUUGGGUAAGUGUUUCGGUAUGCUCGAGUAUUACCAUGGUGUAGCAGAUUACUGAUAUUGAUAUGGCCAUCCAAGUGAGGGAAGUGUUUAUUGUUUUGGAGGUUAUAAGGAGGAGUUCGGCGGAGUGUGUAGUGCAUUGAAGUGACUCUAAUGCGAGCACCGUAUCCUUUUAAAAGUGAUUGUUUAGUGAAGUGUUUCCUCAAUUGUUUAAUGAAAGUGAUUGUACAGUGAAAUUUGCACUACUUGCUUAAUUGUACUGAUUUAAGUGUUUAUUAAAUGUUACUUGCUCGGCAAACCUCACUGGGAUUUAGCUCAACCUUUUAGCUUUGUUUUCCUUACAGGAGUUGGAGAUUGAAAAGUGAUUGGAUGGAAUUGGAAAGUUAUUUUGGAAAGAUCCAUCACUAUGUGUAUAUAUUGGAGUCACGUUUUCUUUUGUAUUUUAAGAUGGUUGAAUCUUCUGUUUUGAGUUGAUGCAAUAUUAAGAAUGGAUGUUUAGAACGUGUAUUUUGUUUCUUUUAGUGGACAAACCUAUGUUUCCAGUUGAUUGGAGUUGUAUUUAAGAGUGAAUGUUCAGUUGUUCAAUGAUAAUGUUAUCUCUGAAGUUAAUGUAAGUGAGUGAGUCCUGGCGAGAGUCAGGCAGGCGAUCCGCUAACUUCUAGGGUAGACCCUAGGAGCAGGUGGGGUCGUCACAGUUUCUUACUAUAACCUUUGGUCUAUUUUACUAACCUUUCAUUCCUUACCAAGAAUAUUGUCCUCCCAAGUUUUUUACAUAACUAAGCAAGUUUUCAAGCCUUACAGCCUAAGUCUGAUGACUUGAUAAAAUUUUAUCAACAAAAAUUAAGCAAUGUUCCUUCUUUUCCACCGAGACGCUCCUUAAAAAAGGUCUAAACCAUUGCAAGCAACAUUUUUGUGACCUUUUAUAGUUUAAGACAUUAAGAAGUACUAAGUAUGAUUGGAG